rnacentral:rRNA from 1 species
UGGGGAAUAUUGGACAAUGGGCGAAAGCCUGAUCCAGCCAUGCCGCGUGUGUGAAGAAGGUCUUCGGAUUGUAAAGCACUCUAAGUUGGGAGGAAGGGCAGUAAGCGAAUACCUUGCUGUUUUGACGUUACCGACAGAAUAAGCACCGGCUAACUCUGUGCCAGCAGCCGCGGUAAUACAGAGGGUGCAAGCGUUAAUCGGAAUUACUGGGCGUAAAGCGCGCGUAGGUGGUUCGUUAAGUUGAAUGUGAAAGCCCCGGGCUCAACCUGGGAACUGCAUCCAAAACUGGCGAGCUAGAGUAGGGCAGAGGGUGGUGGAAUUUCCUGUGUAGCGGUGAAAUGCGUAGAUAUAGGAAGGAACACCAGUGGCGAAGGCGACCACCUGGGCGCAUACUGACACUGAGGUGCGAAAGCGUGGGGAGCAAACAGG